AGGGUGGUUUGGAACUGUGCCCUCUGUUUCUGUACCUCUGUUGCAGCUCUGUCCCUGUCACUGGCACAGCGAGAAGGGGCACUCUGUGGUCUGAUGGGUCGGAAGGCACGAGAGGACACGGCCUGGGGGACACACACAGGUCAAACCCCUGCAGUCAGCUCUGCCAGGGUUGAGGGUGAGCAGUUGCACUGAGCCCUUGGCAGGGCUGAGGGUACAGGGGUUCUGCCCAGCUCAAAGUAUUUCUCGCUAGAGCCAUCUCUCUUUUGACUUCUCCAUGCAGGAUCCAAGAGCAAGCCAUUUUCACAUGGAUUAAUGGAGUUUUUGGCAUUAGCAACAAUGGUAAAACUUGCCAGGCACCAUGACUGGGCUUUUGAGCACUGUCUGGUUCUUACAUGACGUAGCUAAAUGGUCUCAGCUUGCACAUGUGAAUUUAAUGGCACAAAAAAAAAAUCUAAUCUUUCCUUUAGACACACUGUCUUGUAACAAGGGUUAUUCUAAUUACUGCAAUAUAUAGUUUCUACUGUGCUUUAUCUAUUCUGUCACAUUCUCUAUGAUCCCCACAUGAAUUACAUGUUGUUCUUUUGUGUUUUGGCAAUCACUGAUAUGAAAGGCUGAGAAUCUGUUAAUUGGGGCACCUGCUCCCUGGAGGUUUUGCUCAGUAUGAAACAGGAUGACUAUUAAGUUACCUUGGAGAUAUAGGGAAAAUUUUAGUGUAUAUUAGCUCAUGAUGGCUUUAAAGAAAAGAAAUGCUUUGUAGUUAUAUAAUUAUUUUAUCAGUUGGGGAAGGGAGGGGGUUCAGCUGUUAGACUUCUGGGGUUUUAGUGAUUCCAGUGGGAGCUGGGUGUCUAAAUCCCACCAAAGGCUAACUCCCUUGGUGCUAGCCAAGCCAACACUGCACACUGUAACCCCAAGGCAGGUUAUAAUCACUGGUGUUAAUUACAUUACACACUUAAUUAUAAAUGUCCAGCUCUGUUUUACAUUCUGAAUUUUCAAUGUGCCUUGAAGUAACCAAAAAGUCUAAACACUUUUUCUCUUCUUGUUUUGGACAAUUUGUCAUAAAAAGUACAUCCAGCCACAGAACUGAUGGUGGCAGCCCACAAUGGCAUGUGGGAACAGUAAGCUGUGAAAUGAGUAGUAAAUAGUAAGAUGUGCUGUUAUAUCCAGAGGAAUUGUACUGGACUGGAGUAACUCACCACUGUGGCCCCAGGGGCACUGAAGGUCACUGGGCACUGGGAGCUGGAUGAGUGGAGUCCAACCAGAGCUGUGGAGGUCAAGGAAGAGCAUCCCAAUGGCUUUGCAGCAGGAGCAAUGACCCUUGCUUUGUUUCUGCAGAUUCUCCUUCCAAACCCAUGUCAUGAUGAGGAUGAUGAUGAUGAAGGCUGCAAUUUCUCUCUCUCACUAAGAGCAACCUGGGAAUUUCUGGUAUUUCCCACAGGCUCUUCCAGUCCUUUGUCAGUAGUCCUCCCUUCCUGCUGUGCUGCAUCAGCAAGGUCUACGUCCAGACAGAAGGUAAAAGCCCAUACAUCCUUUAUUUGAGCAUUUCACAAAUAAAUUACAGGUUUCUUUGCAACCACGUCAUAAAUCAAAACGUUUAUUUACACCUCAGAAACAGCAAGCAAUUCAGCAACUAGGGCCCAAAGGAACGAUUAACUGGAAAAGUAACUGAAUUAAGUAUCUUUAAAAUCAAACAAAAUAUUUUCCUCCUUGCUUGAACUUUAAGAAAAAGAAAGAAAAUCAUAAAAAAGAAAAAAUAUUGAUGGCAACUUAAAAAGACAAGCGUUGUUAUGGGGUAGAUGUGAUUUACAGGAGGGUUCUGUCUGAAAUGGCAGUAAAAACACAGCUUGUUUGUACUGAGUUCACCAUCACAGUCCACCAGACGGGGUCUUACUCUCCAGUCCCAGCCCCAGGCAGGGUGUGAAUGGGACACACACUCAGUCUGGCCUUUGGCUACGUUCAUUUUAACCCCAAAUUAUCAGAUACAGUCAUUUGCUGAUGCAGAGGAGGAGUGUAAUGUUCAAGGCUGGACGAAGCUUUCCCAAACAGCUGUCCCACUGAAAGCACAGGAAUGCAGAAUUCUGCCUCUAACCCCUUCCCUUUCCACUACUGGUGACCUGCUGAUAAACAGACAACUAAAAAUGAGUCAGUAAACAAUUAUGCAUAUCUUCAAAUGAUAUAAUUGUGUUAAGAGGGGACAGCUACAGGCAGCAUAAAUACAGCAUGAGAGUUGGGAUAAGUCUGGGUUUUACUUUGUGGGUUCUUUUGCCUUUUUUCUUUGCUUUAAAUCAGAUUAGUCCAGCACAUGUAACACAUGCUGUCCCUUAACUCACAUUUUCAUCCAUAACUGAAGGAAUUAAACUGCUUAUUCCAAGUCUCCAUGCUGUAUCAGUCUCCCUCCACCUGCAUAUAUUAUAUAUAUAUAUUUAUAUGUGUAUAUCUCUAUAUAUCUACAUAUAUACACACAUAGCAGUUGUGCAACUAGUAACUUUCCACUGAGAGUGCAUGAGUACAUCCAUUCCAUGUGGACAAGCACAAACCAGUUCGUGUAUCCCAGGGGGAAGCAAGAGAAGUGUGGUCAGUGGGUUAUGUGCUUUACACAGGAAAUAAUCAGCUAUAUCUGCUUUAGGUAGAAUGGUUAUAAUGAUAAUUACUAAAGUACUUUGCAUAUUAAUUCUAAAGAUUAUAGAUCACAGAGUUAAUUGAAAGAAAAUAAUUGCUAUUUUAUUUAUCUUUUUGCUAGCAUUGGACAGUAUCUCUCAGACAACUGAAUUUCUAGAGAUGCAAUAAAAGCAAGAUAGAAUCAGAGUUUUGCUUUUGACUUGGUGUUCUCAAGCUGAUGUGACUUUAAUUUAUAUUGUGAGAGGUUUUUUUUUUUUAAAUUAAAUAAGACAUUAUUGAAUUAAUUCUGAAAAUAACUUGGCCUUUAGACAAAGUGUUGUAAAGUUAUUUGUGUACAGAUUUCUGCUGUUUCAAGGGGCUGAGUGCAUUAGUAACAUUUGAGAAGAAAAUUGGCAGCUUUCUCAGUAUUCCAAACAGAAGAUCUUUAAAAAAGGAAAGACAAAAUUUGUCAGUAUAAUAUAUGUCUUUUUGUAGCGAUAAGACAUUUAAUCAAGGACCCUAAAAACUGAUUGUAAGUCCAUAAUUUAAUAGAUGAGGUUUGUAUCACAGUGAUCCUGAACUUAAGUGACUAUGCAAGGGAACAGGACAAAUUAUUUGGCCACAGCCACUCAAAAUAAAGGUUAAACCCAAUUAUUCUGGGUGCCUCAGAGACACAUUGAAGUGGUCAGUGAAGGACACGAGGCAUCUGAGCUGUAGGUUCUCUGUAUGCCACAAAAGACAGACUUCUGAUACUGUGUAAGCACUCAGCAACCCUGUGACAAAUAUUGCAGCUUUACUGUGCAGAGCCCACCAGUAAAAGCAAUAUGUGGGGAGGUUUAGAUGAAAAAUUUCAUCUGAGUAUGAUUAACUGAGUCUCAGUUCCAGCAAUGGAGUUGCUCUUUGAUUUACAGCAGUGUAAACAUGAUGAGAACAGGGCUCAGAGGGUGCAUUAGCCAGUGUUCCACUCUCACCUAAUUUUCCUUGAUACCCAGCAGGAAAUUCAGCUCCUUUUCCCUUUGUUUUACUCUUCAGCUCUACAGUUACUGAACAAAAUGUAUGUUAAUAAAUGCACACGGAUAUCUUGUAAAAACACACACGUGAGGUGUACAAAGGGUUCAAUUAGCAAGUGCACCAAAUACGAGACCUUUCUCUUGCCAAGAAACUCCUCUCACUGAUGGUUAUUCCCAGUUUUUGUUUCAACGGCAGAUUUCAAGUGAAAUGAUUUUUAAACAAAAAGUUUUGUGCAUGUUAGAAAAUGAUAAUCAAGUUUCCCUGCCUUUCCAACUCUAGACAGCAAUAUGUAUCUACAAACACAGACAGAAAUAAAUGUUGUAGUGAUUAAAUAGCUACGUAGGAAUAAGUGAUAUGUUAUAAAAACAGCAAGCUUGGCUGAAUAGAUGUUAAACAUAAUUAACUAUUAAAAUAAUACAACCAAUUUUGUAAAUUUUCUAUUUUUUUCAUUAUAUUGUAGAAAAAAAAAACCCAAACAAAUAAAUUAUUGUUGCUCCUUUGUUUCAGGAAACGGGCAUCGUUUUUUUUGAGCCAGAGAUGACAACCUUCUUCAGGGAGGAAAUCUCAGCUUCUGACACGAUUCCUCCUCGUGUAACGCUGCAGGACGUGCCACGGACUUGUGUUACAUGUUCUCAGGUACAGAGAAGGAGAAACAUUAACAUGGCAGCUUCAUCUUCUCUUUGCAUGCUCAGGUAAGUCCAGUGAUCAGCUCUGUGUGAAGCCCAGACACAUGGUAAAGGCUGGGAGGCUUUAAUGUGGGUGCAGAGAUAAAGGGGUAACGUGACUGAAGGCUUUGAUGCAUCUUGGUUCAGAGUUUCAGCCACCUCUCUGCACGUCCAAAGGUUGCAGAGUUAUCCAAGAAGAAAGAUCUCUUAUCCUUGGGCACAGAGUGGUAGAAAGAGUUCUUCGGCGUAGUUCCAGGCAGAAGAGCUUUUCCUUUGUUCCUCAUUUUGGAUGGAAUGAUCCAAAAAAUGCUCUGUGAGCCUUGGUUUAAAGGAGAGAAGGGCAGCUUUCUCUGGUACUCAAUAGAAAGGACACCAAUGUCAAGAGGUGUCUUUCCAGGGUUUUGCUGGAUAGAGAGAGGAAGAAAGCAAGUAGAAAAGGAGUAUUUGUGGGGGAGGAUAUUAUAAUUUCUUUUAUUGAAGAUAGAGGUUUUGUAGAUCAAAGCACAGGGUGCAGAAAAUCUUUGGGUGCAACAUACAUGUCGGAAAUUCAGUGGUGUUAUACAUUGGUUGAGUUUUUUUUUCCCUUCUGAAAAAUUUUGCUUGAAAAUAAUAUAUAUAUUUUUUUAAAAAGACGUGUGAUUGUUGAUGACAAAGCAGCAGCAUAUGGUUAUCACAAGGCAUGGGCAGAGAAAGAGAACCAGAAGCUUGCCCAUGUUAGUGUUUGAGAUCAGGCACUUCCCUGCUGGAAUGCCUGCAGCUGCCAACAGCCCACUCCUGAUGUCCUUGACCAAGAGAAGCUCCUGCUCACCCCGAAGUACCACUUUGGUAACUGAGACACCGAGAGCCUCCUGCAAGAGAAACGGGGUCAGGAGGAGGUUUCACUUGGUCAGAACUGCAGGAGUUAAGCUGAAAGAGAAAAAUAAGUUCCUGUCUGAAGGCAGCUCAUAUCUUAUCAGGAAAUCUACAACGUUAGGAAAGCUCACAACACAAACUCAUUUUUCCUCUGUCGCUGUUGUUAUUACUCCUUUUGAUUAAAAAAAGAAAGAAAAAAAAAACCUGUUUCAUAUUUGGUACAAUACAGGAAGUCAGAGAAAAGCUAUUGUACAGCAAAUUUUAACCACCAACACACAUUUAAUAUCUAGUGUAGCAUUAUGGAAAACCAAAUGUAUGUUUGGACUUUUUAAUGCUUCCAAAAAUCUUUACUAUUGAAACAUAGACGUGGUGUGGAAGAUAUGCUCAUAAUCUCACUGUAGUAAAGAUGACAUACAGUAUGACUCAUAAGUACUGUAAAAAUGCUAACUAAAGAAUGCAGCUGCAAAGUUCUAUUGCAUAAGGAAGCUUUCUUGUUUAAACUUUAAAUAAGCAAGUUUAUUAAAAUAUUCUAAGACACUUACCUUACCCUAGUUACUGGCAAGCUCUAAUAAAAGCCACAGUCUGUCACUAGUAUACUUUUUUGUGUUAAUUUUAUAAAAAUUUGGUGUGAGCUUUGAUGGAUCAUUUACAAUUUAUUAACAAGAUGAUCAUCUUCGUACAGUUAGAAGGGUUUUUCUGACCUUACAUGCUCACAGAAUAAAAAAAGGAUCCAUAUUCCUAUAGAACGAACACCCUUUUUUUUUCCCAUGUCUGCAAACGAGUGUGGUAAGUUUACACACACAAAGAAAUGCUCUUGUUACUCUUAACUGGAAACUGUGUGUACAUGUGUAUGUAUGUAUAUAUAUAUUCAAAAGUAUAUAUAUGUGUGUUUGUGAGGAUAUUUAUAGAAUGGGGCAUCUGUGACCUCCUGGCGCUCACGUGGGGGACGGGGCAGCGCAGGGGCCGAGAGAGAGACCAGUGCUCUGGGAAACACUGAGCUUCUGCUGCUUGGAUCAGCUGCUCACCUGCAGGUAUCUGCUCACCUCCCCCUGUGUGCAGAGCUGACAAAGGCUGAAAUGUUGUCAGCAGCCCCAGCAAAUGAUUUACCCCCUUUAGCCCCUCUAAAAUCAGGCCCAGCGCUGCCCUCGCUGUAGGCGGUGACCCUCCCAGCUGGCUGCUCCUCCUGGGUCAUAAACUCCAUUUGGGGCAGAAGGAAAGCAGUUCAGAUCAGGAACAAGCCCAGGGGACUUGCAUUUCUUGUUUGCUGAACCUGAGGUAUGAGAAGAGCCACGUCAGAGCCCUGGGCCUGCCUGGUUCGUGUCAGCACAGUGGUGGGAUGGCAACGGGGUCUCUCCUCCUGGCCACACUAUAAACAGCAAAUACAGUAGGUUUAGCCAUGGUAGAACAGGUACAAUUCAUCUGUGGCUGUAUUAUUCUGCUUUCUCCCUUGAUCCAGAUGAAUAUUUUAUAAAAGCUAAACCUGUGGUAGAACUCUCUAUAUAAAUAUAUAUAUAUACAUACACUCAUACAUAUACAAAUACUAACCCACAGACAAAAUAUUUUCUGAACAGUUGAAUAGCAACAAGUCAACAGAUAGAAAAAAAUGGAGUCAAUCUGUUUUCUGCUCCCCCAGGGUCGGGUUUAGAUGUCAUGGUCUUUUAACAUUCAGAGAAAAUUGGCGUAAACCUUGUGUCUGGCAAGAGGAAUCCAUGGAGAAAGGGAAGUGGGGCAGAAGCCCUCGAACACCAAGGUACAGUCGGACAGGUUGAGUGAGGUUGCAAAUUAAACUGGAGCAACUGAGGCCGAGUAGUGAAGAACAGUAACUGUAAACUGCAAUCUUCAGAUCUGACGGUUUCCUUCUUCUCGUUGCCGUGGCAACUCGGCAGGACAGCUUCGAAUGGCAGGAAUUCUUACAGACCUAAAGGACGGGAGAUGGGGCUGGGGCUUGUCCAGAUGGGCUGAGCAGCAAAGCAGGCACCUGGAUGGCCCUCACCUGCCUGGCCUUUCCCUGCAGCACCACCUCAGCUUUGGAAAACAAAGGUUAAGUAAAGCAAAUUAUGCAAGCGUAAGAAAUCUAUGGAGGGACUGAUGGAUGGGGCUCACUGAAGCGAGAAGUUUCACUGAGAUUUCCAAACUAGCUGAAAUCUGGAAUUGCUUGGUAUGUAGGUUUUUAGCAUGCUGCCUAAAGAAAACGUCUGGCCACAGAAUCAGGAUCCUGACUUACAUAUAGGAGAUUUAUGGCCAUGACUGCCAAAGUGUGGAUAUAUUUGGAUUAGGGAUUCCAGCUAGGACUAAAUUCUCAUAAACAACCUGAUCUCCUGGGUUGUUGCAAAGCAAGAAUUUGGGACUCUGAUCUCACAGACCACCUGAAAAAUAGCAUUUCCAGAUCUCAAUGGAGCUUAGUGGCAUUAAAGGGCAUUUGUUUAAACCUGGCUCAAAAGAACUAUUGGAUUGGCAAAGCUACUCUGAAUCCUUAGGAGAUCCCUGGAGGUCUUCCUGGUAGGGACAGGCACUUGUAGAUGAUAAAUGAACUGAAUUUCUGAGGCACUGAAUUUCUGUACAAUCCAUAGAAACUUCACCAGAGGAAUCUGUCAGCACAAAAUUUAUAAGUAUCACACAAAUUCAAGCAGCCAGUGACUGCUUCACCAACAGCUUGUAAAUAAAGGGCAGUGUUUGGUGAUUUAUGUGCAGACCUGAAGAAAAGCUUGUAUAUUUUACAUCAUAUUGACAGAUAUAAUGAAUGUUACUCCCUUCUCAUACACCUUGCCUUUCCUGAGUAAAUGAUGUAUAAAAACUAGUUAGUUCAGCCUUAAUUAUGAAUCUGUUCUUUCCUGUGCCAGUUCUUUGUGUUGAAGGCCAGUUUCUCUCUCUCUCACAAUAUAAGCACUUUUUGAUCCUCCCUGUUAUCCCACCUGCCUCUUCAAGCACCACCCCAUCCCUUACCCUUUUACCUCAAAGCUCUGCAGUCCCUGGCCAGACUUUCUUUCUACUGAAAUUGCUUCGCAACUUCACCUUCCUGACCUAUCAUCCCCCUUCCACCCAUUUAAUCACGUGCCUGGAAAGCUGAUGUUCCCUUGGCUCCUGUGAUUAUCUCCUCCUGUCAUUUUACUAUGAUUUCUCUAAUUGUUUUUCCAUCGUGUCCUUCUGUCUCAUCUCUCCCUUCCAUUUUUUUGGGAAAACCCUUUUUCCCCCCACUUUAACUUCUUCCUUUUCACUGUGACACCAUUCCUAACCCCUCAGCAACCACAUCAAUACUGACAGUCCAGAGAUCUUACUCUCUUUUCCUGCUUUUCCAUUUAGUCCAAAGUGUCAGCCUCUAGCCCUGAUACCUUUUGCAUGUGUAGCUGACAGCUCUACAGAGCUAAAACUCAGCUCUUAAAUCUUUCCCCUAAAGCACUCCCUUCUAGUUCUUCCUUUGAUUGCUCAGGACAACAUUAUCAUCCUGCCUCUUGUUCAAGCCUAGAAACAGAAGCAAACAGGAGGAGGUUUUUGUCAUGGAAUCUCCUCUCCAGGUCUGUAUAUUUAGCUUAUGUCAAUCUAGAGGAUUCUUUUUCACACAUUGUCCCAAAGAGCUUUCUCCAGCCAUUCAAACAGCUAAAUCUCCUACCCAGGCUCUCCUCAGUGAGCAGGUUUGCAGCAUCUUUUCUGAGCCCUUGACAAAUUGAAGCUCCUGUGUGCUCAUACCCUGUCAGUUUUUGCUGUACAGAGCAUUUUCCUCAUCUGCCACUUUGACAAAACCUCUGCAGCUGCGACUCCUUCACGGCCUCUUCCCUACUGCACACGUGUCCCUGGAUUAUCUCUACAUGACCUGUUUUCCUCCCAUUCAUAGCUUUCACUGACAUGUUUUCAAAGAAACCUGUGAUAUGGGAGGAGCUCCCUGCAAGCCUCCAUAAAAUGCUGUCUCCUAACAGCUGCUUUUGCUGACACCUCUGCAAAACUCUUGGCCUUGGCAAAGGGGGCCAAGAGUGCUGUGAAUUCAGCUCAGCCCUUUCACCAGCCUCGGCUGAAGUUGUGUUAAAAGAAUUGCCUUGUUCCAAACACUGCCUGGAAGAACAGUAAGUCUCUGCUCGUUAAUGAUGAUUGACCCUUUUGUAAAGGUGGAUUGCUGAAGGAGUGGGGUUUGCCUCUAAAAAUCAGAUUCAACCUUCAAAAUUAUGGGCUGUAAAACCUCAGUAGAUAACCAGCUUUGGUAAGUAAGAAUACACAAGUUCAAAUCUAUCUUGGCUCUUUCUAUUGCACAUAAAGGUGAUCAAAAAUUGCUUCUGUCCUAUAGAGAAGUUAGUUUAAAUUUUAGUUUCUUUGGUUUUAAUAAGAGAGUGUCAGUUACUGAUUUUUUUCCUACAAAUAGUCUGAUAUAGUCAUGUAAAUUGUUAUUGGCCAAACAUUCUGGCCAGUAACUCCCUUAACACAAAAUCUGCAGAAAUCAAGAACAACCACAGAUUGUACAGAAAAAAUCAAUGUUGAAUCUGCUGAAACCAACACAACUGCUCUGUUAUAAAAUCUGAUAAGCCUCUGGUCCAUAUUUAAAAUCUCUCUUCUCCCAGAUGGAUUUCCAAUGUCUGUUAUUUUCUCUGUAGGAAUUGUAGUUUUCUUGUUUGCUUUUCUUUUUCUUUAUUCUCCCCAUAAAGAAGGACCAAAUGAAAUUUCCAGAAAAGCACACACCCAGCCAAAUUAUUAGCAUCUACUUCUUAUUUGAGCUCUGUUUCUAAACAGCUAUCCUAAAGAAUCCUAGUAUUUAUCCACUACUUCAAUGGGGUUGUAUUUGUUUUUAGUUUUUUUAACCUAUUCUUAUGUAUUUUAUGAUACAUAUGAUUUAAAGUUUGCAGAUGGCAACAACACAUAGAAGAUAUUAGUACUUAAAGAACACUGUGAGCAUAAAAUGUGCAAAUAAUGUGUGCAAGAGACACAUUUGCUGAUCAGGGUGAACAAUUUCUUUUAAGAAUUUAAUGCCCUAGUAAGCCUGUGCCUGGGAGAUCUGCAGAGUAAUGAUAAUUACACCUAGUAAUUAUUUUAUUUUCUUUUUAUUAGCUCUGUCUCCAUAACUGGUCUCAGCACUCAAGAAUUAUUACAACACCAUGUGUUGUUUCAGAUGUGAUUUCUGUGCCUACAACAGGUAAUUUUUUUGCCCAAAGCUGGAGACCUGCAAGCCACAAAGGUGGGGCUGCAUCUUUGCUCUCACCUGGCCACCCCCCACCUUUCCCUGAAGGGGUCUGGGGGAUGCACAAGUACCACUAAACCAGCAUUUCUAUAUGGGACUUAUUUCUUCAGAAAUCUCUCCCACUGAAGUCUUUAAUGUGAUUCCCACUAAUUUUAUCUCACAGUUCUCUGCUCUACCUCUUCAACACCUGACAUACAUUCAGCCACGUUCCUUUUAAGAUAACAGUCAAACAGCAAGAUAAGAGUGAAAAAACCAGGGUUAUUGCUCUGUGUUUGUUGUCAGAAUUAUUACUGGUCUGGUUAAUGGUCUCAGAUAAGAAAGCAGAGCACAUUACAAACAGCUGGUGUCUGUUGGCACUCGUGCUCUGGCACUGGAAGAUGAUGUUUGCUUUUGCUGGUCAAGAACACUGACAAAUGUGGUACAUGUUUCUCUGGGUCUGAUGUACUAAUAGUGCUACUAAUAAUUAAUAUUAAUAAUAAUGCUAUAGGAAUAGAGGGCUAGGUAGAUGGUUUAGGGAAGGGAGACUUGUAAUUUAGAAACUUAAAUGGAAUAAACCCCUGUUUUUAUUUCCACUGAA